rnacentral:lncRNA from 1 species
GAAGAGAUAAGUUGCAUCAUAUAAAUUUGCGUUAACAUACGACAACAAAGUUAAAUGAAUACGGGAAAACUUUGUCGUGGUAAAGGUGAGGGAAAAGAUAAUUUGGGCUUCCCUUUCCUGCUGUACUUGAUUAGCUGUGUUUCUUUCUUCAAAGCAAUGAGUGCCUUCAGUUAACAAGUCAACAAAAUGCCGUGAGGCGAUUGAUUACCGAUCAAAAACUAUAAUGGAAUAGUAACAUAAAACAAGUGCCGAAUCAAGCUGGCUAAUAAGUAUGAAAACUUUUUCAAUUUCAUAACCUGCCUUUUGAAGGGCAUGAUUCUUCAAAUGUACGUCAUAAACAAAAAACAAAAUUUUCGCCACAAAAUAAUCACUUUUAUUUAACCACUCAGAUUACAUCUUAAGCUAAUAUUUUUCUAAGACACAUUUGACACCCCUUAAGCAACUUACAAUGCAAUUAUGCAUUAGAACCUCAUAGAUGAAUUUGAAGUUGAGUGCAAAAGAGCCUUCGUUGUUUUAAUCAACACAUACACCCCAAAAUCAGCACACAUACACAUUAAAUUAACACAUACACCCCAAAAACAGCACAUACAUACACACUAAAUCAACACAUACACCCCAAAAUCAGCACACACAUACACAAAUAUCCAUACACUACGAGGGGAGAAAUUAAAGGAAAAUUACAGAAAUUAAAGGCACUCACUACGAGGGGAGAGGUCGGCAGGGAAAUGUGGCGACGAGGCGGCGGCAAGGCAACGGCGGAGCAAAAAUUGAGUUUUCAGCCAACGAAACCGGCGAGCAAAGGUGGAAUGACGACAAAGGAACGGCGGCGGAACAGGUCCCUAACAGUAGAGAGAGAGAGAGAGAGAGAGAGAGAGAGAGAGAGAGAG